UCGUUUGUCACAAACCGAGCGUAGGUGUUUCACAAAAAGCGGUCUCUGGGCCUCCGUUUGGUUUCCCUGACAUUGAGGAGCCCACAUCGGGAACAGCGGAUAAAAUCGACCACAUUUGGGGAUGUGCAGCUCCUGUCUGACGAUUCCUCAUGGCAGAAUGAUUUGAUUCUCUCUGACUCUGCAUCAUCCCGAGUUUCAGCUCCGGAAUAAAAUCUCCUUGGGGGUGGAGAAAUGAUUCUGUGCUUCGACUGUGAAAAGCAGGUGUAUAGUUUACUGGCCGCCUGAUUUGCAGACAAAGGAAAGCUGAUCGAGCAAAUUACACUGUUAGUGACAGUCCAUCGCACACAACAACAAGAGCUUCUUACAAUGAGAACAGAACGGAUUCUAGUUAAACAGACGUACAUGCCAAAAUGAAAAUCUGCUGCUUUGACAAACAUGCUGCCUGUUUGAACAACAUAAACAUGUUGCCAAUAUAGUGAGACAUUUGAACUGCCCGAUGCAACUGUCAUGUCUUUCUCAAUUCAUAAUCACUGUUUCUAUGUAUUUUUCAAGCUAUUAUGAGUUGUGUAUGUAUAAUUAGCUCCUGGAACAAUCUAGAUAUUCUGUUGAAUAAACACAUUUACAACCUGUACAUUGCUUAGUCUAAUUUUCUAAGUAAAAU